GAUGAACGCUGGCGGCGUGCCUAAUACAUGCAAGUCGAGCGAACAGACGAGGAGCUUGCUCCUCUGACGUUAGCGGCGGACGUGUGAGUAACACGUGGAUAACCUACCUAUAAGACUGGGAUAACUUCGGGAAACCGAAGCUAAUACCGGAUAAUAUAUUGAACCGCAUGGUUCAAUAGUGAAAGACGGUUUUGCUGUCACUUAUAGAUGGAUCCGCGCCGCAUUAGCUAGUUGGUAAGGUAACGGCUUACCAAGGCAACGAUGCGUAGCCGACCUGAGAGGGUGAUCGGCCACACUGGAACUGAGACACGGUCCAGACUCCUACGGGAGGCAGCAGUAGGGAAUCUUCCGCAAUGGGCGAAAGCCUGACGGAGCAACGCCGCGUGAGUGAUGAAGGUCUUCGGAUCGUAAAACUCUGUUAUUAGGGAAGAACAAAUGUGUAAGUAACUAUGCACGUCUUGACGGUACCUAAUCAGAAAGCCACGGCUAACUACGUG
rnacentral:rRNA from 1 species